rnacentral:lncRNA from 1 species
UUUAUUGACUUGCUGCUGGUGUACUCACUGUUCUCACUGUCAAAUGCACUGUAACAUCCAUGUUAGUUUGAUACAUGCUGUUGGAUUUGGAUUCUUGUUCAACUGUCUCCGUAGUUUGUAUAAACUUAGCCACUGGUCCCAUCCUGAUGCCAAACUGACUUCACACCAUGUUCAAGCCGUGACUGGAGAAAUACUGAAAAUUACCAUGGCUAAAGAAGAUUUAUAUCGACCAAUCUUUACUUGAAAUUCUAAAUGUUGAGAGUCACUUCAUGUCAAAAGACGAUUGUAUUAAAAGAUGGAUGAGGAGAAUUCUCAUUGUGAGCCUGGCUUUGUUCUCUCCCUAGCAGGAAGAUGGGAUGAUGGAAGGAGGCAGCCAUCAGGAGACAGCCAUUAACUUAUCUACGAGUAAAGACUUGCUGCAAUCCUGUAACGGAGAUCUUUACACUGUUGCUCGUUCAAGUGCAGCCUUACAUGCUGCUGAAAAUGGUGAUGCUU